CUACGGAGGCUGCAGUGGGGAAUAUUGGACAAUGGGCGAAAGCCUGAUCCAGCCAUGCCGCGUGUGUGAAGAAGGCCUUCGGGUUGUAAAGCACUUUCAGUGGGGAAGAAAGCCUUGGGGCUAAUACCCUCGAGGAAGGACAUCACCCACAGAAGAAGCACCGGCUAACUCCGUGCCAGCAGCCGCGGUAAUACGGAGGGUGUGAGCGUUAAUCGGAAUUACUGGGCGUAAAGCGCGCGUAGGCGGUCUGAUAAGCCGGUUGUGAAAGCCCCGGGCUCAACCUGGGAACGGCAUCCGGAACUGUCAGGCUAGAGUGCAGGAGAGGAAGGUAGAAUUCCCGGUGUAGCGGUGAAAUGCGUAGAGAUCGGGAGGAAUACCAGUGGCGAAGGCGGCCUUCUGGACUGACACUGACGCUGAGGUGCGAAAGCGUGGGUAGCAAACAGGAUUAGAUACCCUAGUAGUC
rnacentral:rRNA from 1 species